rnacentral:rRNA from 1 species
AUUGAACGCUGGCGGCAGGCCUAACACAUGCAAGUCGAACGAGUGGCGGACGGGUGAGUAAUGUCUGGGAAACUGCCUGAUGGAGGGGGAUAACUACUGGAAACGGUAGCUAAUACCGCAUACCAUCGGAUGUGCCCAGAUGGGAUUAGCUAGUAGGUGGGGUAAAGGCUCACCUAGGCGACGAUCCCUAGCUGGUCUGAGAGGAUGACGAGCUACACUGGAACUAAGAAACGAACCAACCUCCUACGUGCGUCAGCGGGGGAGAAUAUUGGAAAAUGGGCACAAGCCUGAUGCAGCCAUGCCGCGUGAAUGAAGAAGGCCUUCGGGUUGUAAAGUACUUUCAGCGGGGAGGCGUUACCCGCAGAAGAAGCACCGGCUAACUCCGGGCCAGCAGCAGCGGUAAUUC